GACGAACGCUGGCGGCGUGCUUAACACAUGCAAGUCGAACGGAAAGGCCCUGCUUUUGUGGGGUGCUCGAGUGGCGAACGGGUGAGUAACACGUGAGUAACCUGCCCUUGACUUUGGGAUAACUUCAGGAAACUGGGGCUAAUACCGGAUAGGAGCUCCUGCUGCAUGGUGGGGGUUGGAAAGUUUCGGCGGUUGGGGAUGGACUCGCGGCUUAUCAGCUUGUUGGUGGGGUAGUGGCUUACCAAGGCUUUGACGGGUAGCCGGCCUGAGAGGGUGACCGGCCACAUUGGGACUGAGAUAAGGCCCAGACUCCUACGGGAGGCAGCAGUGGGGAAUAUUGCACAAUGGGCGGAAGCCUGAUGCAGUAACGCCGCGUGCGGGAUGACGGCCUUCGGGUUGUAAACCACUUUCGCCUGUGACGAAGCGUGAGUGACGGUAAUGGGUAAAGAAGCACCGGCUAACUACGUG
rnacentral:rRNA from 1 species